rnacentral:rRNA from 1 species
AUUGAACGCUGGCGGCAGGCCUAACACAUGCAAGUCGAGCGGAGCGGCGGACGGGUGAGUCAUGCCUAGGACUCUGCCUCGUAGUGGGGGAUAACGUCCGGAACCGGUCGCUAAUCCCGCAUACUAUCAGAUGAGCCUAGGUCGGUUUCGCUAGUUGGUGGGGUAAAGGCCUACCAAGGCGACGAUCCGGAACUGGUCUGAGAGGAUGAUCAGUCACACUGGAACUGGGAAGCGGUCCAGACUACUACGGGAGGCAGCAGAGGGGAAUAUGGGACAAGAGGCGGAAGCCUGAUCCAGCCAGGCCGCGUGUGUGAAGAAGGUGUUCGGAUUGUAAAGCAGUUUAAGUUGGGAGGCGUUACCAACAGAAUAAGCACCGGCUAACUUCGUGCCAGCAGCCGCGGUAAUAC